UAACACGUGAGAAAUCUGCCCUUGACUCUGGGAUAACUGCGGGAAACUGUAGCUAAUACCGGAUACUUUCCCUGGUGGGCAUCCACUAGGGAAGAAAGAAUUUCGGUCAAGGAUGAUCUCGCGGCCUAUCAGCUAGUUGGUGAGGUAAUGGCUCACCAAGGCGACGACGGGUAGCCGGCCUGAGAGGGUGACCGGCCACACUGGAACUGAGACACGGUCCAGACUCCUACGGGAGGCAGCAGUGGGGAAUAUUGCACAAUGGGCGAAAGCCUGAUGCAGCAACGCCGCGUGAGGGACGAAGGCCUUCGGGUUGUAAACCUCUUUUAGCAGGGAAGAAGCGAAAGUGACGGUACCUGCAGAAAAAGCACCGGCUAACUACGUGCCAGCAGCCGCGGUAAUACGUAGGGUGCAAGCGUUGUCCGGAAUUAUUGGGCGUAAAGAGCUCGUAGGCGGUUUGUCACGUCUGCUGUGAAAUUUCGAGGCUCAACCUCGAACUUGCAGUGGGUACGGGCAGGCUAGAGUGCGGUAGGGGAGAUGGGAAUUCCUGGUGUAGCGGUGGAAUGCGCAGAUAUCAGGAGGAACACCAAUGGCGAAGGCACAUCUCUGGGCCGUAACUGACGCUGAGGAGCGAAAGCGUGGGGAGCGAACAGGAUUAGAUACCCUGGUAGUCCACGCCGUAA
rnacentral:rRNA from 1 species